rnacentral:rRNA from 1 species
CUAAAUACUACCCAGUGACCGAUAGCGUAUAGUACUGUGAAGGAAAGGUGAAAAGCACCCCGGGAGGGGAGUGAAAAAGAACCUGAAACCCUGUGCCUACAAGCACCUAGAGCACGUCAAUGUGUGAUAGGGUACUUUUUGUAGAACGGUCCGGCGAGCGAUUGUAUGCAGCAAGGUUAAGGACUUAAGGUCUGGAGCCGAAGCGAAAGCGAGUUUGAAAAGGGCGUUAAGUUGCAUAUAAUGGGCCCGAAACCGGGUGACCUACCCAUGGUCAGGUUGAAGUGGAAGUAAAAUUCCAUGGAGGACCGAACCGACCUCCGUUGAAAAGGCGGCGGAUGAACUGUGGGUAGCGGAGAAAUUCCAAUCGAACCCGGAGAUAGCUGGUUCUCCCCGAAAUAGUUUUAGGACUAGCCUCAAGUUAGAUACCUGGAGGUAAAGCACUGAAUAGCCUAGCGGCCGAGAGGUUAGCGAAGCUUAUCAAACUCAGAAUGCCAGAGUAUUGAUGCUUGGGAGUCAGACAGUGUCAGAUAAAUGUCAUUGUCAAAAGGGAAACAGCCCAGAUCUACAGCUAAGGUCCCAAAGUCAGGUUAAGUGGAAAACGAUGUGAAGAUACGUAGACAACCAGGAUGUUGGCUCAGAAGCAGCCACACAUUCAAAGAGUGCGUAAUAGCUCACUGGUCGAGCGUCUUUGCGCGGAGAAUUUAACGGGGCUAAACCUGACACCGAAGCUUAGGCAAUACAGAAAUGUAUUGGGUAGGGGAGCGUUGUAUACGCGGAGAAACAGUAGCGCAAGCGGCUGUGGAGUGUAUAGAAGUGAGAAUGCCGGAAUGAGUAGCGCGAAUGCAGUGAGAAUCUGCAUGGCCGAAAGCCUCAGGUUUCUGGAGGAAGGUUCGUCCGCUCCAGGUUAGUCGGGAGCUAAGGUGAGGCCGAAAGGCGUAGCCGAUGCACAGACGGUAGAGAUUCCGUCACCACCAAAAGAGUUAAGCACAGGGACACAUUUGAAGUCUCGGAGCCGGGUGUUGGUUCCGGUAGCGAUCGAGGGAAAUUAGUACCGAAGUCCGGGAUGGAAGAUGGCGAGAAAAGCUGUGUGUAUUUCUGCGGUGCCCGUACCGCAAACCGACACAGGUAGGUAGGAAGAAGAUUCUAAGGCCAACGGGAGAAGGGUUGUUAAGGAACUCGGCAAAUUGACCCCGUAACUUCGGGAGAAGGGGUGCUCCAGAGAUGGAGCCGCAGAGAAUCGGCCCAAGCAACUGUUUACCAAAAACACAGGUUUGUGCUAAAUCGAAAGAUGACGUAUACGAGCUGACGCCUGCCCGGUGCUGGAAGGUUAAGAGGAGAUGUGCAAGCAUUGAAUCGAAGCCCCAGUGAACGGCGGCCGUAACUAUAACGGUCCUAAGGUAGCGAAAUUCCUUGUCAGGUAAG